rnacentral:tRNA from 1 species
GGGUAGGUUAGCACAGUGGUUAGAGCUUUGGUUUUGUGACCGUAAGGUGUCUAGUUCGAAUCCACCUGGCCA